rnacentral:lncRNA from 1 species
ACAAGUUGACAUACCACGUGUUAAUUUAAUUUUAUGAUGCUGCCUCUUUAAUUUUCAGUCAAUUCAGUUCACAGCAACUUGCCCACAUAAAGUGAAAAUAUAAAUCUCUACAUUUAAUAAAAACACCCGUAGGAUUUAUAAUACACAUACCACAAAUCUGUGAAGCUUUAAAAAUAAAAACAAAUGUGAGACAUAUUAGACAUUAUUUCAAAUUGCAAUGUAUUAAGAAAACUUAUUAUACACAUUACAUUAACAUCUGACCUAUAUUUAACACCUAAGUGGGAGCAGGAAGUGUUAAGUCUGCUUCAAGGACAUAUUCUUGAACCCCCUAGAGUUAACAGGACACAUGGCAUGUACAUUUUUAUGGUAACAAUCAGUAUGCAGCCAAUGGAUAGGCAAUUUUAUGCAAACUAAAUGUUUCCAGAGAAACCAUUGUCUAUUUGAAACAAAGCUUCCAUUCAGGGCUGUCAAAUGCAUGAAAGGUUAAGAAAAAGAGUUUAACUAUGAUAAAAGCCGAGAGUA